AAUUUCAGAAACCAAAUCAAAAUUCAAAUCCACUUUCCUUUGUUUUCCUGUGAUUCAAACCACCACCAAAAACCACCGUGAACACCACCACUGUCAACCGCCACCCCCAUUCUCUUUCACCUCCAUCGUCAGCCACCUCCACCACCAUUUACCCGCCUCACCUCCGCCACCAUCUCCGGCAAAACGCGACCCAACACACCCUUAUUUUCGCUCCCUUCCCCGCAACCACUCACGCCCCUGUUCCUUCUUCCGUUUUCUUCCCUUGCGGCACCACCAGUGUAGCACCAACGCUCCCAACCAUCCCCAGCCACCCAGACCACCAUCGCCCUCCAGCACCACCGCACCCACACCACCGGCUUCCAUCUCCUCUCUCUCCUCCUUUCACGACACCCCUGCCCCCUCCCCUGUUUCUUCCCCUUUCUCUAACUCGCCGCACCACCCCCAUCGCGCUCCACCACCGCCCACCAUCACCAACCUACACACCGAUCACCGCCGCCCCAAAAACCCCGGUGCUCCGCCCAAAACCCCCAAAACUCUCCCUCACAAAUCUCCCCUGCCUCUUCCUUCCUUCGCGCAACUCACCACUCAUUCCUUCGCUGCUCCGCCGCCGAGAACCACCCACCAUCACCGUCGCAUUAAUCGACGCCACCCACCCAAGCCAGCCACCUCAAUCUUCCCUCCUCCACUCCUCCCUUUUUCCUCUAUUUCGCUCGUGCCCUUCCCAGAAAACCAAAAGCCAAAAAUCAGAUUUUAAACUUUGGUUUUCAUUUUCUUUAAAACUCAAUUUAAGGAUUAGGCCAAUUCAAAUUGGGCCUUGAAAUUGGACUCGGAGCUCAGGACGAACGAACCAACAAAAAUCCUUAUCGAAAUCAUGGAAGUGAGGUACUGCGGGGAACAAUGGACACGAGUAAUGGCGAGGAACUUCACUUUAUUAAUAUUCACCUAGUUUAUGCUUAAUGUUUUAAUAGUUUAAUUAAAGACUUUUAGUAAUUUAUGUACUUGUAUUUUGGGAAUAUAAAGGAUUAUUAUAAU